UGAGUGUCCGGCUGUCAGUCGGCUUGGCUGAGGUCUGCAGCGCGUCAAGGACAGAAUGAGAAUGACAAUCAGACUGACCUCUUUUAAGCCCUCACAGGAGGGUGUUUGUCAGACCCUGGUUGGCCGUGAGAGGGAUGCCCCAAGCUGCUAUCGCUCCGUUAAUUAGGAGCCGCUCGUCACCACCUGCACAAAGGACCUGGGAAAGUGAAGAUGACUGUUCACAAUGAAGAACUAAAACUUUAAGGUCGGGAAAAGAGUGGAUGAGUCAAUGGAGCUAACAGAGGAGACGGCUGGGGUGGAGAGAGGCCGGAGGAGGAGGAGAGGAGGAGGUGGAGGUGGAGGAAGAGGAGG